rnacentral:rRNA from 1 species
AUUGAACGCUGGCGGCAUGCCUUACACAUGCAAGUCGAGCGGCGGCGCGGGGGCAACCCUGGCGGCGAGCGGCGAACGGGUGAGUAAUGCAUCGGAACGUGUCCUCUUGUGGGGGAUAACCAGUCGAAAGACUGGCUAAUACCGCAUGAGAUCGAGAGAUGAAAGCAGGGGACCGCAAGGCCUUGCGCGAGAGGAGCGGCCGAUGCCGGAUUAGCUAGUUGGUGGGCCGUUACCCCACCAAGGCGACGAUCCGUAGCUGGUCUGAGAGGACGACCAGCCACACUGGGACUGAGACACGGCCCCAGACUCCUACGGGAGGCAGCAGUGGGGAAUUUUGGACAAUGGGGGCAACCCUGAUCCAGCCAUGCCGCGUGUGUGAAGAAGGCCUCGGGUUGUAAAGCACUUUCGGACGGAACGAAAUCGCGCGGGUGAAUAUCCCGCGUGGAUGACGGUACCGUAAGAAGAAGCACCGGCUAACUACGUGCCAGCAGCCGCGGUAAUACGUAGGGUGCGAGCGUUAAUCGGAAUUACUGGGCGUAAAGUGUGCGCAGGUGGCCUCGCAAGUCGAGUGUGAAAUCCCCGGGCUUAACUUGGGAAUUGCGCUCGAAACUAC